rnacentral:misc_RNA from 1 species
GCUCCACCUGCUCAGUGAACAGGGAUGUGCCAGUGUGUUUGUCCAGGUGAGGAAUGCUUUGUACAGAGCGUUGUUUGUCAAUAGUUGCCUGAAGUGAUGUCAGGGGCCUAACACCAGCUACUACCAGGAGGCGGCGGAGCUGGCGGUGGGCUACCGCUGCUCCUGCCGGCACAGCAUGGGCGGGCCGCAGUGCAGCAUUGUCACGGUAGUGGUGGGCAGCGUGGCGCGACCAAGCCCUGAGGCGGAGGCCAUGUCGGCGGGCCAGGUGGUGCUAGUGGUGGUGUUCAGCACCGCUAUGCCCGUGCUGGUGGUGGAAUUGGUGUUGGUGAUCGUAUGCAUAAAGCGGAAACGCGUACGUGACUGCCCGUGUCGGGAUGAGGAGGCGCGGCGUCAGAACGAGCAGAACAUGGUGCACAACGCUGUGGGCGCCGUCAACAGUGUCUGGACCACCACAUGAUCUUCUACUCCCUAAACUUCCCCAUCAAGAAACCUCUCAACACCGUGCCACCGGCUCCCCCCUUGCAUCACCCACACCACACCCACCUCCACCACCAUCACCUCCACGACCACGACUACAAGAAUCCCGCGGAGAACGCAUACUCCGCAGUGCCCAUGCGCAGCAGCAGGACUCAACAAGGAUGUGUCGCGGCUCUCGCUGGCUGACCGCCUCGAGAAGGACAUUGAGCCCCCGCCCAGCGCCUGCGUCACGCCCACCUCGGACUCCAGCGCCCCAUGCAAGGU